rnacentral:rRNA from 1 species
AGUGAACGCUGGCGGUAGGCCUAACACAUGCAAGUCGAACGGCAGCACAGUAAGAGCUUGCUCUUACGGGUGGCGAGUGGCGGACGGGUGAGGAAUACAUCGGAAUCUACUUUUUCGUGGGGGAUAACGUAGGGAAACUUACGCUAAUACCGCAUACGACCUACGGUUGAAAGCAGGGGAUCUUCGGACCUUGCGCGAUUGAAUGAGCCGAUGUCGGAUUAGCUAGUUGGCGGGGUAAAGGCCCACCAAGGCGACGAUCCGUAGCUGGUCUGAGAGGGUGAUCAGCAACAAUGAAACUGAGAAGAGGUCCAGACUCCUACGGGAGGCAGCAGUGGGGAAUAUAGGACAAUGGGCGCAAGCCGGAUCCAGCCAUACCGCGGGGGUGAAGAAGGCCUUCGGGUUGUAAAGCCCUGUUGUUGGGAAAGAAAAGAAGAAGGUUAAUAACCAGCUGUUCUGACGGGACCCAAAGAAUAAGCACCGGAUAACUUAGUG